rnacentral:rRNA from 1 species
GGUAUUGAAAUAAGAUUUUAAAUGAGUGCUAAGAGAAUGAUUAAACAAUUAAAAACUUUCUUUAAUUAAAUAAUUAAAUUUAAUUUUUUUGGUGCAAAAGCAAAAAUAAAAUUUAGGGACAAGAAGACCCUAUGAAUUUUUAUUAUUAAUAUUUUGCAAUUAAAUUAUUAAUAAUUUAAUUGGGGUGAUAAAAAAAGAAUAAGUAUCUUUUUAAUUGUAAAAUAAGUUCCGUUUUUAGCGAUUAAAUGAAAAAAAUACUCUAGGGAUAACAGCGUAAUAAUUUUGGAUAGUUCAUAUAGAUAAAAUAGUUUGCGACCUCGAUGUUGGAUUAGGAUUC